UGAGGAAUAUUGGUCAAUGGGCGAGAGCCUGAACCAGCCAAGUCGCGUGAAGGAAGACUGCCCGCAAGGGUUGUAAACUUCUUUUGUAUGGGAUUAAAGUCACCUACGUGUAGGUGUUUGCAGUUACCAUACGAAUAAGCAUCGGCUAACUCCGUGCCAGCAGCCGCGGUAAUACGGAGGAUGCGAGCGUUAUCCGGAAUUAUUGGGUUUAAAGGGAGCGUAGGCCGUUUGGUAAGCGUGUUGUGAAAUGUAGGAGCUCAACUUCUAGAUUGCAGCGCGAACUGUCAGACUUGAGUGCGCACAACGUAGGCGGAAUUCAUGGUGUAGCGGUGAAAUGCUUAGAUAUCAUGAAGAACUCCGAUUGCGAAGGCAGCUUACGGGAGCGCAACUGACGCUGAAGCUCGAAGGUGCGGGUAUCGAACAGG
rnacentral:rRNA from 1 species